GUCUCCCCCAUGCCUUUGCCUUCCCCUCCUUUUUGCCUUUCGUUUUGCAAAACUCUCUCUCUCUCUCUCCCCAUGUUCACCAUUUUUCUCAAACUUUAAGCUUAAAAUGAGAGUCUUUAGAGUGAGAUUUUGUAAAAGUGUUGUAAACAAAAGUUGGAGAGCUCCUCUUGAUCUUCACAAUGGUAGUCUCAGAUUCAUGAUCAGGGAAUGCUUUUCGGAUUUGAAAAUCAAACCAUGGGUUUUACCAUUUCAUAAGUGUAAUGUAGUAAUGGAUUGUACUACUUCACUUGUCGUUUGGCCGAGUGCUAGGCAAUAGCAUGGAUGGACUUUCGGGAAGCAAGAGCUUCUUAAUUAUGUUUUGUUGUGUGUAUGUUGGCAUUUGUAAAGUCAAGGGCUUAAGACGUAAUAAGCGAGACUCAAUUUGUAUAAACAAGCAAUGACUUGGAAAGAUGUAAGCCUACAUGGCAUUUAACUGGUUGUUAAACAGUAGACUCUGAUGUAUGAAGGUAUGUUAUUUCUCAUAUUUAUUCCGCAUAUAAGUUAUCUUUAUUGUA